AGUGGCGGACGGGUGAGUAAUGUCUGGGAAACUGCCCGGUGGAGGGGGAUAACUACUGGAAACGGUAGCUAAUACCGCAUAACGUCUUCGGACCAAAGUGGGGGAUCUUCGGACCUCACGCCACCGGAUGUGCCCAGAUGGGAUUAGCUAGUAGGUGGGGUAACGGCUCACCUAGGCGACGAUCCCUAGCUGGUCUGAGAGGAUGACCAGCCACACUGGAACUGAGACACGGUCCAGACUCCUACGGGAGGCAGCAGUGGGGAAUAUUGCACAAUGGGCGCAAGCCUGAUGCAGCCAUGCCGCGUGUAUGAAGAAGGCCUUCGGGUUGUAAAGUACUUUCAGCGGGGAGGAAGGCGGUGAGGUUAAUAACCUUGCCGAUUGACGUUACCCGCAGAAGAAGCACCGGCUAACUCCGUGCCAGCAGCCGCGGUAAUACGGAGGGUGCAAGCGUUAAUCGGAAUUACUGGGCGUAAAGCGCACGCAGGCGGUCUGUUAAGUCAGAUGUGAAAUCCCCGGGCUUAACCUGGGAACUGCAUUUGAAACUGGCAGGCUUGAGUCUCGUA
rnacentral:rRNA from 1 species